AUGUUGAUAUUAGGUCCUCUACUCCAAGAUGCUAUAAACAGAGAGAGAGGCAGAGACACAGGCCGAGGGAGAAGCAGGCUCCUUGCAAGGAGCCCGAUGUGGGACUCAAUCCUGAAUCCUGGGAUCAAGCCCUGGGCCGAAGGCAGAUGCUCAACCUCUGAGCCACCCAGGCGUCCCUAUAAACAUCUUUAUAACAAGGAAAGAGAGAACUGUGUCACAGGGGGUAUUUCCAUACCAGCAAAGCCCUGGCAACGUCCAGUUGUACUAUCAGCCACGACAAAAGACAGGAGGGGAUCUGAGCGCCCUCUACCCACAAGACACACGACUGGAGAAAAGAGUGCCCGACUGACAAGUCAACGCCCGUCUGUGACUGACAAAGCUCGGCAGGGAUGUGAGUGACUACAGGUAAGUCCCCUCUCAUUUGCAGCGGGGAGGAAGGGAGGACUCCCUUAUCAUGAAGCUCAUCAC
rnacentral:lncRNA from 12 species